rnacentral:lncRNA from 1 species
AAAUGGAAGGAAUCUGCUAGCAGUCCAUGAAGUAAUAGGACAUAAAUAUUCCACACCAGCCAGGAAGUACUCCAGCUUGUUAGCAUCAGGGUACUGCAGCAAUACGCCACACGCCAGUGUGUGGGAGCUUGAGGGGGUGGGAGCGUGCAAAGAUUAUGGGACCCUGCUAGCCGGACUAUACAUGUGGGAUGGCACUAAGUGGUCGAAUCACUUCAGUUUGGUAGCAUCAAGUUCCCUUCCUUCUUUCCCCCCAUUCCCCUAACAGGUUUUGAACUUGUAUUAUUUGUCAACUACAAAUCCAUUAUAAGAAGCUAUGGUAAAGAAAGGACGCAUAAAAGGCUGGCCGACCUGGGCAGAGGUCAGGCAUCCAGAGGUCACCCGGAGUUCACGGGGGAGCUCCUCCAUUGCCCUUUUUCUUUCAUUAACUGGAAAAAACCAGUGUCUUGAAAGGUCUCGAGGAGAGCAGACUUACAGCUGUGGUGUCCAUAGACGAUCCCCCCUCCUCCUUACCCUCCUCCUGACUCACACUGAGCCUGCAGGGAAGCUGAGCCUUGGGCUACACCUGGGGCCUGACCCCACUGGCAGUUCCACACCAGGACAGCUGCCCUGCAGUUAGAGACCUGGGGAGG